UUUGUGGAGCACUUUAUUAAAAACUUUCUCUGACAUUUGCAUUUUUUAUCAACUUCGAGAAAAUAAAGUGACUUAAUAUAGUGAAAAUAUUGGCGUUUGUAAUACGUGAUGUUUAAACAGGAUUUAUAAUUCAUCUGGAUAUAUAGUUCGCAAUUGUUUUUCUUGUCUUGAAUAAAUGUUUUAAUUUUUCAGCAAUUGUCAAUAUCAGUUGCUGUUUUGUUUUUCUUUAAGUCAAUCGGAUAUACAUUGUUAAUGAAAAACAUGCGACUAAUAAAUAAACACUUGGGAAAAAUGCACUAAAAAACGACUGGCACAAUGUGAAAUGUAAAUUGUAAUUUAGAAUAAAUUAUCAAAAAAUACGAUUACAGCAAAAUUUAUAAUAGUAAUAAGUUGUUGGACCAUCACAAUUAUAAUCAUAACCACAGUUACCACAAGUAAUGUGAAAGUAAUUCAUAAUAGGUUGUCAGAACUUUACAAUUACAAUGACAGUGUACGAAGCACGUGCUGUUUCAUACCCUGGAAUUCCAGCUUGUGAAAUAGAUUUCCAACCCUUGCAGCGUGAACGCUCGGACUCAUUGCCGGAACCACGUCACUUCCGGCGCCUCCGUCGGGAACUUGAUCUCGAUUCAGACCUAGACAAACAAUCUCGAGACGAAAAUGCUUUUCUGAGAUCGGAAGAAGCAAAGCAAUGGAAAUCAAAACGCGUUACACACAAACAAUUAGAGAGGACUCAGAAAGGCCUCGAGGAGGGAGGUGUUGUUAUAUCAACAGAGCCCAUGGGCUCCCCUACACCUGUAAGGGACAUUGCAAGUUCGCCCACAGCUUUGACCCAUAUUCCGUGGACAAACUGGACACGAUGGAAUUAUAAGCACACUCUCGAGAUAACUGGUGAGAAUCUAGAAGACCUGCUGGCUUACGAUGAUCUCUUCCUAGACUACUUCAACGCCUUUCUUGCUCUUCCAGUAUUUCCUCAAGUAUUGCGUUACAACCGUCUUACGGGUGCCUUUGAAGAAGUCAUUUUAGAUGGCAGCAGUCGACCAAGCUCAAAAUAUGAUGGCAAUUCCAGUCUACCAUAUGGUGUCACAGAUGGGGAGAGGGAUGCUAUGUUACAGUGGGCAAGGAAAGAAAGAUUGCCACUUUUUCUAAGCACACAAUUAUUUAGAGAAUUCAAGUUAUGUAAAUUAUUACUACGACCAUUAGACGAUAGAUACUCGGCCAGUCGAGGCUCCACUCACAAUAUACGAGGAUAUAGUCGUCAGUCGGAAAGUUACGUAUCUAGUCUAAGUAACAGUGCGGACAAUAGUGCUAAUGAUGUGGAUGAUGAAGACUUUAAUUUUGAAGGACAUUUUAAUGCUUCUCAAUUGUUCAAAUACCAAAGACCUGGCAGUAGGGCUUUAAGUGUUCCUGCACCUAUAUGCUAUGGAUAUGAGCCCUAUUAUGAUGAUGAGCAGAGAGGAAGUACUACCACACAUACACACGACACCUCAAAAACAGCGUCUGUCAAAUAUAAAUCUAAAAGAGAGAGGGACGAGAAUGUGCCAGACCCAAAUGACCCGCAAUAUGUCUCCGCAGUCGAUUUACCAAACUAUCCAAGGGAGAGCACUGUUACAUUUGAUCCUGACACAGCUGAACCUGAGAGCAAGUCAUUACGUAGUCACAGCAGACGUUCAUCUAGAAUGAGUCGGUCUAAACGUGCACCACAAUCUGAUGCCGAGGCUGCAUUUCUUAGACAUGCAAGAGCAUUAUCUGCACCUAUAAAUUACGAUGACUACAUGCGUCAUCCUUAUCGUGACUUUGACAUGAUGUUUGGAGAGGAUGAGCCGGAACCCGAUGGCAAUGUUUAUGUUACAUUUGAGGAUGAGGGAACCAGUGAGGCCCAGACUGAGACAGAUGUGAAAAACCUGGAAGGACGUCUCAAAAUGACUUUCCAACAACUCAAAGAACACAUACUAGGAUCUUAUUUUGCCAUGGAAAAUUUCAAGGAGUUUUUGUCAGGAACUGCCGGUAAAGAGCUAGUCAAUUUCUGGCUGGACUGCGAGUUCUUCAAGGAUGUCAUGGAGAAAUAUGAUGAAGUGGCCAUUAUGGACACUAGAAAUAGACUUUUUAGAGAUAUUCAGGACAAAUUCAAGAUACAUUUGACCAAAGAUGCCAUUGAACAGAUAUCUAAAGCUGCCAGCAACUCGAAUCUCAGUCAUUCUAUAUUUAUACGAACCCAGUACGAUGUUCUACGUAGAUUACGAGCAUACUGGGUUAUUAGGUACAUGCUUCAUAUGGAGAGAGAACAGAAAAUUAGAUUAGGUAGACAUAACCAAAGUCAGUCCCUCAGUUUAACAGAUUCUAAUCGGUGGAUUACUGGAGAUACGUCACUUAAGGACACAUACUCAUUUUUCCCGUCCAUCAACCUUGUUAGCUCCAUGCCUGUUAGACCUGAUGAUGUCCUUACAUACACUCGCACCAAAAACUGGGAAUCUGUCAGUAAAGGUGGUCGACGAUUGGAUGACAGAGUGACGUCAGCUAAAUUUAGAUCACAGCCAGUCACUGCUGCCUCUCUUAGUGGUUUGCUAGGCUUUACAACAACACCUCGACCAAAAAAGUCCAGAACAACCAAGGAGAGAUUCCUCGUUGCCUUGGCAGCAGACAAGAUGGCAGGAGGACCUUUUGAAAGAUUUCUUGCUUGUCACCCAGACCACUCUCUGGUGUCCAAUCUACUGUUCUGGCAAGAUGUGACAGAAUAUGGUGCAGCAGAAGACAGGGCCGCUGACCGUAUGCUGCGAAUGUGCAAUGCUUGGGCAAUAUUUAAUAGAUAUAUUUCUGAUGAUAGUGAAUUCAAUAUAGAAAUUUCAGCAGAUGAGCGAAACACUAUACAUAAAGCAUUAAUGUCAGCGAGUGACUUUGUGGAUUCUAGUGUAUUUAACAGUGCCAAACAACAUUCCUGUGAUAAACUUGAAGAAGCUUGGAUCAGAUACCUGAAAGAGGACCUGAAAAUAUUUCUUGAUUGUCACAUAAGACCAGGAGGUCCAAGCCCACCAGGUACAGCAGCCAUUGAGAUUAUCUUAACAAAUGAUGAAGUGCUCAUUCGAAGACCCAGACCAUGGCAGAAAAAGAUGGGUACAACAGAAUCGGAGCGAGCAAGGAGAGCUAAGCCGGGACUGUCCUUGGAGGAUAUGGAUGAGGAAGAAUUAGCAGCUUUACGUGCCAAACGUCGGGAAGCUCGUAAAGAGAUGGAACGAGAACGGAGGAAAGCAGUAAAGGCAGCGUAUAAACGUCUUAGGGACUCGAAGAGAAAACCAGAAGAUAAAAAGGAAGGUUCCUCUACAGAAGAGUCACCAGUACAAACUGAGGACAAAAAAGAUGCAGAUGAUAUGGACUUUGAUGAUGGUGAGAAAAAAUCUGCCCGUCCUCCCCCUCCCUUCCACGAGAUGAUUGGGAAUAAGGCAAUUAUGUCAAACUUCAAGAAGCAUCUUGUAGAACAAGAAGAGAAAGAAUGUUUGAACAUGGUAGGAUUGUUUACAGACAUAGAAACCUUCCUGUCGUACGGAACAAACAAAAAGGAAAUGCAGCGAAGGGAACAGCAUGCAAACUUUAUACAGAAAACAUACUUGGACUCUCAUGGUAAGAAGAAAGUAGAGUUGUCAGACAAGUUGAAGAGUAAGAUACAUGACAAGGAGAGACCAAAGACACCUGUGAUAAAAGAAAUACAGCACAGUUUGCAUGCUAAAAUAGAUGAACAGUUUAAAUCCUAUUUGGUGAAUAAAGCAGAAGAGCAAGGUAUUGAACCAGGAGAUCUUGUCAAAUUGUCUCAAGCAGAACUUUCAAUGAGGCUGGGAACUGAUGCUUCCAUGGGAACCUGGAGAAAAACUCGUGGAAAAGGGAAGGAUGGAGACAUGGAGAGGGAAUAUUCGCAUCCCUCUGUCAGAAUUACAAUUAGUAAAUUAGACAAAAAGUCUCGUAGAGUACAUUUUGAAAAGGAAGGUACAGAAGUUUCAAUGUAUUCUGAAUCAGGAACAAAUUAUACAUAUCUGUCAACAUCACAGGAUGAAUCCAGCUCGUCAACUCCUAGGGGCCCUGGCAGCUCCCAGAUGUAUAGGCGCCCUAAAAGGGCUCGUUUCAACACUAAGACUGGUCGUGCUCAGCCGCAUAAAGAUGAUCGAGAAGAGUUUUAUAAGUCGCUCAAGACAUGUGCAUCUGGCAAGAUGUCACUACAAAUGCUGUAUUUCUAUAAAUAUCUGCUCAAACACAGCGAGGAGGAUAACAUGCCUCUUAUUGACAAGGAUCUGUUCUUCUAUAUUGAAGUCCAAAAAUUUAAGGAGUGCAGUCACCAGUUUUCUGAUGAGGAAUUGUUGCGGCGUAAGGUUCAGUCCCUAAUGGACUGUUUCUUAGAGUCAUUCACAACACCAGCACUUCAGAUUGAUAUAGGAGGAGAGCUGCAGCAGAAGACAUUGAGGUCUGCACAGAGGUAUCUGGCUGGUAAAGAGGUUUUCUCAAACAUUUUUGAUGAGGCCCAGCUGAGUGUGUUUAAGGAGUUGCUUCCAUACUGGGCUGGAUUCAGGAAGACUUACUCCCCUCCUGAUGAUCCAAACAAGAAACCUGUAACCAAAUACCAAAAGAUGUUGAAGAAGCGUAUGGAGAAUAUAGACAAUUAUGUUAUCCCGCCAAAUGAAUUCCAACUGCCAUCUAUACCAGAGGGCGCUAUAGCAGCCUUUACAUUCUCAUUGUCAGACGGUGUUAAAUUGAGGGAAGAUGCUGAGGAUUCAUUUAUGGAAAACAACAAAGUCUGGUAGAGCAUUAUGGCAUUCAGACACUGCAUCGGAUAUAUCAAAUUGAAUAUUAUAAAAAAGGAGCUGACACAAGGAGAGGAAAACAAUUUAGCGUAUGUGAUGGACUCAAGUACUCGUAGCAGUAAGGCUGACUUACAUCCGGGAAAACAUCGAACCAGCAUCGGUACCUCAAAUAACCCAACAGGUACCAGUAGCAC
rnacentral:misc_RNA from 1 species